UAGCCGGCGGGCGGGCCGCUGACGCGCUCGGUUGUGCCGUUAUCGUGCAAUGCUUCAUCCCCGGUGCCGUUCACUCCCAGGUCGUUUUCCCUUUCAGCUGCAAUGCCGGGAUUUUAAAUAGCAGAGAUGAAAGGCCCCUGCCCCCGCCUCCCUCCUCCCCUGAGUUCAUGUAUUAUGAAUGAAACGGCAGCCUCGCUGCUUCCUGAGGUGCUCCACUUCAGGCUGGGGUGCAAUGGCUCGAUCUCGGCUCAGUGCAACCUCUGCUUCCCGGGUUCAAGUGAUUCUCCUGCGUCAGCCUCCCAAGCAGCUGUGAAUACAGGUUGGAGUGCAGUGGUGUUGUGUCUGGAGUUUGUUCCUGCCGUUGGGUUUGUGGUCUUGCUGACUUCAAGAAUGAAGCCACGGACCUUCACGUCCAUCGCCUUGGCUUAGUGCAUGUCACCAAAAAUUCUCCAGGAAUUUCAUAGUUUGGACCUUGGUGGCAUGGCUGGCCCCGGAUUAUCCAUGCAGGGAGGCCUGAUCCUGUGACAGCUGGCUGCAGCAGGGGGCUGCCCAUCUUCUGUGCUUUGUGGUACGUAUCUGUGUCACCAAAGUAGCGGCCUCGGUACAGCAAGCCUUUCGUCUGCUGCUUCUCCGUCCAGCAGUUGUUCCAGAGGUUGGCGAUAUAAUCAUCUUUCACAUUCGGUUUGACUGUUUGGAGGCUGGAGCCUGUGUACUCCUCAGAGAAAGUGCCUGCCACAUAGUAGAUGACACUCAGGUGGUCAGUGACUCGCCUGUGAUGUGGCCCACAAACAGUCUUGGGCUCAGACUGUAGGGUGGACUGGAGACCAUGAGCUGGCUGAGAGCUGACGUGAGGAUGAGGAUGGGCAUCAGCUGCACAAACACCCCCCAGCUGCCGUCACUCCGCUUCUCCCUGCGGCCCUGCCUUUGCUGGUAGGUAUAGCGCAUGCAGCCAUUGCUGUAGACGUAGACUUUACUAGAAGGGAAGCCAUUGCCAAAGAACAUGUUGAAGAGGUCUUCAGGGGAGAUGUCAGCCUCAAAGCCGUGGUGGAAGUCCCCAUGACGAUGCCGGACCUGACUGCCUGGCUCCUGUUAUCGCCCAAGUGGUCAUACUGCUUCCUCUUUUCUUUCUUUCUUUCUUUUUUUUUUUUUUUUUCUUGAGACAGAGUCUUGCUCUGUCGCCUAGGCUGAAGUGCAGUGGCUUGGUCUUAGUACACUGCAACCUCUGCUUCCCUGGUUCAAGCAAUUCCCCUGCCUCGGCCUCCUGAGUAGCUGGGAUUACAGACAUGCACCGCCACUGCCAGCUAAUUUUUGUAUUUUUAGUACAGACAGAGUUUUACCAUGUUGGCUAGGCUGGUCUCAAACCAGCUGGUCUUGAACUCUUGACCUCAUGAUCCGCCCACCUUGGCCUCCUAAAGUGCUGGGAUUACAGGCAUGAGCCACCGUGCCGGGCCAUACUGCUUCCUCUUCUCCGGGUUGCUGAGUACUGCAUAUGCUGUGCCAAUGGCUUUGAAAGCUCCAGUGGUGCCAGGUGCAUGGUUCUUGUCUGGGUGGAAUUUGAGGGCCAGUUUGUGGUAAGCCUUCUUCAGGUCCUCAUCUGAGGCCCCUCUCCUCACCCCCAGGAUCUCAUAAUAAUCCUUACAUUGCUUGACCCUUUUCACAGCUGCAACUCCUUCUGCAGUGUAGCCUUUGGUGCUCUCUCCUCCUCCAGCUUCACCGUUGGCCUAGGGAGCAUCGGUCCCACCUGCUUUCCUGUGGGUGGCAUGGGUUGCGUCUGUGCGUUGGGGUUGGUCACCAGCAGUUUGUGGUUCCUAGUUGAGAGACUCCAUCAGGCCACACACUCGCGGCUUUGGGUACAGCCACUUGCCUUCUCCAGGAUGAGGAGCACCUGGUCGGGCUGGUUGCACUGGAUGGCCUUGAGGAUGAUGCUGAUACAGAGCUCGGCUUCAUCCUUAUUGGAUUACAUGGCAGAACCAGAGCAUGGAACCUGCUGUUGACUUUUAAGAAGUGUUUUUUUUUGUUGUUGUUCUAAUAACAGACAGAGUAUAGUAGAUGAAGUAAGUAGAUGAAGGUGAAAAGUUCUGCUUCUCCCUUUCCUUUUUGCCUUGGGAUGGAGUUGUUGGAAAUGUGAUGCUUGGAGUUACGGCAACCAUCUUGUGACCCAGGGGAAAAGGCCAGGAGAGGCCGGGCACAGUAGCUCACACCUGGAAUCCCAGGACUUUGAGAGGCUGAGACCGAGGUGGGCAGAUCACGAGGUCAGGAGUUCAAGACUAGCCUGACAAAUAUGGUGAAACUCUGUCUCUGCUAAAAAUAAAAAAAUUAGCUGGGUGUGGCAGCAUGCACCUGUAGUCCCAGCUACUCGGGAGGCUGAGGCAGAAGAAUCCCUUGAACCCGGGAGGCAGAGGUUGUGGUGAGCCGAGAUCGCGUCACUACACUCCAGCCUGGGCGACAGAGCAAGACUCCAUCUCAAAAAAAAAAAAAAAAAAGGCCAGCAGAAACGGAGAAAUGUAGAGACAUUAGCCUAGCAUCUUAAUUUUUUGUUUUUCUUUUGUUUUGUUUUUUUGACAUGGAGUUUUGCUCUUGUUGCCCAGGCUGGAGUGCAAUGGCAUGAUCUCAGCUCACCACAACCUCUGCCUCCCCAGUUCAAGCAAUUCUCCUGCCUCAGCCUCCCGAGUAGCUGGGAUUACAGGGAUGCGCCGCCAUGCCUGGCUAAUUUUGUAUUUUUUUUUUUUUAGUAGAGGUGGGGUUUCUGCAUGUUGGCCACAUGCAGAAAGGAAAAUAGGGAGGAAUGAGGCCCACCCCAGCAUCUUGAUAUCUUCUUGCUUUUCCAAAGCAGAAACUCUUUUUCUCCAAACUUCUUGUUACCUGAGAUAUUGAAAAGCCUUUGUUUCUUAAACCACUGUUAGCCAGGUGUUCUGUUACAAUAAAACACAUCCUAACCAA